rnacentral:lncRNA from 1 species
CUCAGGUGAUCCACCUGCCUCGGCCUCUCAAAGUGCUGGGAUUACAGGCGUGAGCCACCAUGCCUGGCAUAUAUGGCAAAGUUUUAACACCAUUUUUUACUAAGAUAAGUAUCAUAAAGGACUUUGUAAAGAAUAUAUUACAACCGAUCAGGCCAGUGGCUUUUUGUUUGUUUGUUUAGCAGGAUUUGAUUGAACCUCAUCAUGCUAUAGAUCUUCCAUUCAGGGAUGAUGAUGUGGGCAUAGUUCAGUGGAGGCUGCCUGCAAUGAAACUGGGCAGAGGCAAGAAUCGAGAGAUCAGCUUUAGCCCAGCUCCCAGGAGCACCAGAGUUAAGAAGGAUAUCUCCUAGAGGGAAAGCCAGAGACCAGGCAAGGGAACAUACAUGAACACCCAGCCUGUGCUCUGGUGUGAGGUUGCAACAGGAGUAGGAUUGGUUCAAUCAGCAUAUUUUCUUUCAUGUACUAGGUUGAAAGUAUUAGUCCAUUUUAUAGAUGAAGAAAUGGAGGCCCAGAGAGAUCACGUGACUUAGCCAAGUCCACCAACUAAUAUUGGGAAGCUCAGCAGGGUCCUGGGGGCCCACAGGAAUGUGAAUAAACACGCUUGGAAAGUCUGCAGAAUUUCCAGUCCUAGCCUCCUGCUGGUGUGAACCUGGGCUCCUGUGCCUGGGACCCUGGGAGAUUUGGGAUUAAGCCUUAUUUUGCAUUGGGUUUAAUCUCAACAGACACCGAGGGGCACCUGGAGUCCCUGCAAAACCUUGUCUGGUAUCAGCUACCUAUCAGAGGAUGCAGAGGACAAGGUCAGGUAGAGGCUGUUUCCAGUGAGAGGAAGGCAGGGGGAGGGCAUGGAAGGAGCACUGGAAAUGGGGUGGGAAAACCAAAGCUCCCUCCAUGCAGGGCUACUUAGGUGAGUCCCUUCCCUGUCUGGGCUCCCUUCCUUCCUUCCUUCCUUCCUUCCUUCCUUCCUUCCUUCCUUCCUUCCUUCUUUCCUUCCUUUCCUUCCUUCCUUCUUUCCUUUCUUCCUUGCUUCCUGCUCUCUCUGUUGCCCAGGCUGGAGUGCAGUAGCAUGUCCUCGCCUCACUGCAGCCUCGACCUCCUGGACUCAAGCCAUCCUCCCACCUCAGCCUCCUGAGUAGCUGGAGCUAUAGGCGUGUGCCACUACACACGGCUAACUUUUGUAUUUUUUGUAGAGAUGGGGUUUCACCAUCUUGUCCAAGCUGGUCUUGAACUCCUGGGCUCAAGCGAUCUGUCCACCUCAGCCUCCCAAAGUGCUGGGAUUACAGACAUGAGCCACCGUGCCCAGCCUGUGCCUUAGCAUUCUAUCCUAUGACUCAGAGGUAGCUGAGCUCCAUCUUCUAAAAUCAAGUGACCAUCACUGAGGCUGUCUCCUCCCCUAUAAAAUCAGGAUUGUGUUACUCAUUGUAGAAAAACCAGUAACCCCAGCAAGCAAGCUCACCCCCCUGGCUCCACAGACCUCCCCAGUCUCAUCUCUCAAGACUCCUGCCCUUCACAAGAUGCUCUGGCGCACCCCAGCCCUGUGCUCCCUCUCAUUUGGUUUCCUCUGCUUGGAUUGCCCUUCUCACCUUCUUUAGUUGGUGUCUGCUCACCUUCUAAGACUCAGCCCAGUCCUUAUCUCCUCCAGGAAGCCUUCCCCAAUCUCCCUUCCACUGGCUGGGUUAGGUGCUGUCCCUUGGGCUCCUAUCAAGUCUGGGCCAUUGCUGUCCUAAUAAUGUGGCUGAUAAUUUAUAGCUAGUCAUUAGAGUUGUAAUUUAUUGAGCCCUUACUCACAGCCUGCCCCUGAACCAGACCCUUUAUACAGCGUCACCUCAUUGAAUCUGACAAAGUAUAACUCAGCUCCUAGUUCAAAGUAAACAUCUGCCCUGCCAUUGAUCCCGCUGAGGUAACAGAAAUAAAGCCAGCUGUGGAGGUAACACGAAACAGUAGUUCUCCCAAGCAUAGGGUACAGCUAGAAAGUGCCACAACGUGCCUGCCUGCAAUGUGUGCACGUGCGUGCACACGUGUACGUGGAUAAACACGUCUGUGCACGUGUAUGUUGCUUCUCUGGCCAGGCCUGGCUGCCCCACUCAUGUGCACCCAGUUCCUCAUCACUGUCACCCCCGAGGCCCAGGGCCAGCAUCAGAGCAUCCCUGGCUGCUCCCUAACCUCAGCCCUCCCCGCCCAGGGUGGUCCUGGGAUACACAUAGGGGUGGAGGGAAGUGACUGCUGCUGCUGCUGGAUCUCAGAAUACAAAUACUAAUACUAUUACCUAAUGGUCUUUUUAGUGUCCCUAAUGGUCUUUUUAGUGUCUCUAAUUGUAUCUCUUUUUCGUUUCUGAUAUUUUAACUGGGUAUUUCUCUCCAUGACCCUUGGAUAUUCUAGCUAGAGGAUCCUGUGGGGAAAGUGCCGGGCACACAGUAGGGGCUCACUCUUCUAGACGUGUUAUCUAAAACCUGGUUCAUCUGUCCUUCCACGCAGGGCCUAGGGGAUGCCAAAUUCCAGGGUCCAGAAAGAGCUUGGGAUAAAAUGAACAUCCAAGGGGAGGGCUUUGACCUGGGCUGAGUCUGCCUGUGCCGAGUCUGCCUGUGCCAUCCAACUGGAGUCUCAAGUCCUGAGGCAGGACGUCCAGAUGCCCCAGUGCAGGGUCCUCCUGAUCAACACCUGCUCCCCUGUACUCAUUAGCAACCUCACCCACCCUACUCUCAAAGCACACUUGGCUCUCAUAUCCAGGAGCUCUGCAUCUGUAGAUUCAGCAACAGCAGAUGGAAAAUAUUCAGAAAAUAAAUUGGACAGUUAUAUUUCUAUUGAA